CUCGCUGUCACGGCGUCGUCAUGGCGACCGGGCGGUGGUGGCUGCUUGGCCGCGAGGCAGACGACGCGACGAAGGGAGGACAGGAGAGGGGCUGCCUGGCCACCACGGUCCUCCCGGGGCGGCUCCCCUGCCCACAGCAGGCUGGAACACCCCGUUAACUCCUAUGCGGCAUGCAAUUCAGGCGGAGGCCUUUACCUCGGGCUGCAGAGAACACCGAAGGCAUAAGCGAUGGAGGCCCUAGUCCUAAGGCUGUCUUCAGGGGGAGCAGAGGGUGCGGGAAAAUAGCGGCCCGGCAGGAGCAGCCAGAGUGUCCAGCAGAGGAGCAGCGACGGGGCAGAAGAGGCGGACAGGCAGCGAGGCAGGGGAUUGGACACAAAGCUUCCUGAGCCACCAAUGAAGAUACUUUUGUUUCAGUAACUACAGAUAAGGCCUAUCUUGGUGCCUAAGAAUAAACAGAUGACCUCUUGGAGACCUCUGUGCCAGGAAGAAGCAAGGGACUACCCUUCCCCCUUGGAGGCAACUGUUGAAUUUCAAAGG